AUGCUUGCUCAUAAAGGCAGAAAUCAGAAGAAUGUUGUAAUAAAUAGCUGGCAAAAGUUGUUCAUGGGGCUGCCACGUGUCAUACGUCGUACAUACGUUUGCACGACGUGCAAGCUUAAUUCUGAAGAAAUGUUGGAACACAAGAUAGAUCAACAUAGACAUUGUGCCGUUACCAGAACUCUGAUUGUAAUGCUUGGAAUAAGCUAUCAUCAAUAUUGUAUACCGAAACUGGCACAAAGUGAUCAGAAUCACCACCACCUUCUUGAGGUGGAGCUUGAUCAGAUUAGCACCACAAGCUGA
rnacentral:rRNA from 1 species